rnacentral:rRNA from 1 species
AAGGAAGGAGUGGAGCAUGCCUAACACAUGCAAGUCGAACGAGACCUUCGGGUCUAGUGGCGCACGGGUGCGUAACGCGUGGGAACCUGCCCUUAGGUUCGGAAUAACUCCCCGAAAGGGGUGCUAAUACCGGAUAAUGUCUUCGGACCAAAGAUUUAUCGCCUUUGGAUGGGCCCGCGUUGGAUUAGCUAGUUGGUAGGGUAAAAGCCUACCAAGGCGACGAUCCAUAGCUGGUCUGAGAGGAUGAUCAGCCACACUGGGACUGAGACACGGCCCAGACUCCUACGGGAGGCAGCAGUGGGGAAUAUUGGACAAUGGGCGAAAGCCUGAUCCAGCAAUGCCGCGUGAGUGAUGAAGGCCUUAGGGUUGUAAAGCUCUUUUACCCGGGAUGAUAAUGACAGUACCGGGAGAAUAAGCUCCGGCUAACUCCGUG